CUACAGGCUCCAAGUCAAGUGAUGCUGUUAAUAUGGUCUUUGAUAGGGACCCAUAUGACCUUAUAUGACCCAAAGACAUGUACAUCCUUAUGGCAUCUGGACACAUGAAGAAGGAUUGUCGAGCAGGUGGAGCAGGUUUGGCUACAGGCUCCAAGUCAAGUGAUGCUAUUAAUAUGGUCUUUGAUAGGGACCCAUAUGACCUUAUAUGACCCAAAGACAUGUACAUCCAUAUGGCAUGCCGCUAUUUGCCAUGGUGAAGGAUGUGAGAUUAAUAGUGAAAUUACACACGGGCAUUGGUUUGGCAGGAAUGCAAGGUGUGAUGAAACAGUUAUGCCGAUAGCUGAUGGGCUUCCAAGGAGAGCCAAUAAUGGAGGUUGCACCAUAAUAAUCAGCAAGGUGUUUUUCGACAUGAGCCGAAGUGGAAAUUCUUAGAAUGGUUUAUUCUAAGUGGCGAUACUCUUUAUGGUGGAGUAUGACAGGUGUUCAGCAAUGUGGAGUAUGACGGAUAACUGCUGCUAUGAUCAUUUUUAAUCAAGGUGGAGUUUGUUGGGAUCUUGCUUAAAAAUGAGAACGGUCAUUGUCCCAC
rnacentral:lncRNA from 1 species